UCUUUGCAAGCGGAGCCCAGGGAGAAUAUGCUGGACUGGCCACUAUCCGAGCCUACUUAAACCAGAAAGGAGAGGGGCACAGAACGGUUUGCCUCAUUCCGAAAUCAGCACAUGGGACCAACCCAGCAAGUGCCCACAUGGCAGGCAUGAAGAUUCAGCCUGUGGAGGUGGAUAAAUAUGGGAAUAUCGAUGCAGUUCACCUCAAGGCCAUGGAAGAAGUUGCUUAGCAACCGUAUCUGCUUCCCACCAGCGGACUGGCAGCUGCAUCUUAAGCGGGAAGGAAACCAGUGGAAUAGCAAUGUGAUUUUGAUGGUGGUGUUAUUAGGCAUGGAGACUGCGAACGCUGUGCAGUUGCCUUCUAAAGGAAGCUGAAAAUCCACAAUGCU
rnacentral:sRNA from 1 species